rnacentral:piRNA from 1 species
UCAGUUAAGAAUUUAUUCGGCAUUUUCC